CACGGGGGGAGCAAGCGUUGUUCGGAAUCACUGGGCGUAAAGGGCGUGUAGGCGGUCAGGUUAGUGAGAUGUGAAACGCCCCGGCUCACCCGGGGACCUGCAUCUCAAACUGCCUGGCUUGAGUAUGGGAGAGGAUGAGGGAAUUCCUGGUGUAGCGGUGAAAUGCGUAGAUAUCAGGAAGAACACCAAUGGCGAAAGCAGCUCUCUGGGACGGUACUGACGCUGAGACGCGAAAGCGUGGGGAGCAAACAGG
rnacentral:rRNA from 1 species